CCACCAUUAACUCAACUGGAAGAGUGUUUAGCCUUAUUAAGUCUAAGAGUCUAGGUUUGAUGCCUCGAUGGUGGUCCA
rnacentral:tRNA from 2 species